GGCCUCCAGGACUCCCAUAAGUCAUCGGGGCCUAGCACAGCAGGGAACGCGUCACCACCCUGAUCGGCCAGAGCUAGCACUGGGCCCCACCUGCUAUUCACUGCUCAGAACUUCACCCCGAGUAGCUGUCUGCUGUCUGCCGGAGCUUUCUGUGAACCGCUGAUGUGUGUGUUCCCCUGAUCUCUGCAGGCUCUCUCAACCUCCUUCUCAGUUCACUGGGCAAACGCUGCUGUAGAUUCCGGACGUGGUUGGUGGGUAGCUUUUGCCCGGACUCCUCUGCAACUCCGGCCUUGGAGGUGGCUGUGGGUCCCUGCCACUCCCUCGCUGAGCUUUCCCUGACUCCCAGUGGAUGAAAUGAGUGGUUUCCUUGGCAGAGCUUCCCCAACAGUCUUCUUCCAAGGGUCCUGGGACUUCUGGUUCAUGAUCAGCUGGAGACAGGUGAGCCCUGCACGAGCUCCCGAGGCCUCAGUCCAUGCUGACCUUGCCCUUUGCAGAGAGGAGUCAUCUCCGAGGGCACGAGGUGGGUUUGGGAGCUUUCUG
rnacentral:lncRNA from 1 species